CCCAAAGCGUAACGGAGGAGCACGAAGGUUAGCUAAUCCUGGUCGGACAUCAGGAGGUUAGUGCAAUGGCAUAAGCUAGCUUGACUGCGAGCGUGACGGCGCGAGCAGGUGCGAAAGCAGGUCAUAGUGAUCCGGUGGUUCUGAAUGGAAGGGCCAUCGCUCAACGGAUAAAAGGUACUCCGGGGAUAACAGGCUGAUACCGCCCAAGAGUUCAUAUCGACGGCGGUGUUUGGCACCUCGAUGUCGGCUCAUCACAUCCUGGGGCUGAAGUAGGUCCCAAGGGUAUGGCUGUUCGCCAUUUAAAGUGGUACGCGAGCUGGGUUUAGAACGUCGUGAGACAGUUCGGUCCCUAUCUGCCGUGGGCGCUGGAGAAUUGAGGGGGGCUGCUCCUAGUACGAGAGGACCGGAGUGGACGCAUCACUGGUGUUCGGGUUG
rnacentral:rRNA from 1 species